GGUUGGUCCGAAGGUGGUGAGGUUUAAAUUGAUUGCUACAGUGAGUAACAGAACUUCUACGUUUCUUCUCUCCCCUCCCUCACCGCCGGUAUUGACUAGCCUUUU
ensembl:misc_RNA Y_RNA Y RNA